rnacentral:rRNA from 1 species
CAGCCCUAAACGAUGCGCGUUAGGUGUAUCGGUGACCACGAGUCACCGAGGUGCCGAAGGGAACCGUGAAACGUGCCGCCUGGGAAGUACGGUCGCAAGGCUGAAACUUAAGGAUUGGCGGGGGAGCACCACAACGGGUGGAGCCUGCGGUUUAAUUGGACUCAACGCCGGGAAGCUCACCGGAUAAGACAGCGGAAUGAUUGCCGGGCUGAAGACCCUGCAUGACCAGCUGAGAGGAGGUGCAUGGCGUAGACGUCU